rnacentral:rRNA from 1 species
GACGAACGCUGGCGGCGUGCCUAAUACAUGCAAGUCGAGCGGACGAAUCGAAAGCUUGCUUUUGAUUCGUUAGCGGCGGACGGGUGAGUAACACGUGGGCAACCUGCCCUGUAGACGGGGAUAACACCGAGAAAUCGGUGCUAAUACCGGAUAACACGAAAUGUCGCAUGACGUUUCGUUGAAAGACGGCGCACGCUGUCGCUACAGGAUGGGCCCGCGGCGCAUUAGCUAGUUGGUGAGGUAACGGCUCACCAAGGCGACGAUGCGUAGCCGACCUGAGAGGGUGAUCGGCCACACUGGGACUGAGACACGGCCCAGACUCCUACGGGAGGCAGCAGUAGGGAAUCUUCCGCAAUGGACGAAAGUCUGACGGAGCAACGCCGCGUGAGCGAAGAAGGCCUUCGGGUCGUAAAGCUCUGUUGUUAGGGAAGAACAAGUAACGCAGUAACUGGCGUUACCGUGACGGCACCUAACGAGAAAGCCACGGCUAACUACGUG